CCUACGGGGGGCUGCAGUCGAGGAUCAUUCGCAAUGGGCGAAAGCCUGACGGUGCGACGCCGCGUGAGGGAUGAAGGCCUUCGGGUUGUAAACCUCUGUCAGGAGUUAAGAACGGCGGGUGUCAUAACAUGGCAUUCGCGUGACAAAGGCUCCAAAGGAAGCCACGGCUAACUACGUGCCAGCAGCCGCGGUAAUACGUAGGUGGCUAGCGUUACUCGGAAUCACUGGGCAUAAAGGGCGUGUAGGCGGACGCGUAAGUCCGGUGUGAAAUCCCCCGGCUCAACCGGGGACGGCCAUUGGAUACUGCGUGUCUUGAGUGCGGAAGGGGAGAGUGGAACUCUUGGUGGAGCGGUGAAAUGCGUAGAUAUCAAGAGGAACGCCGGUGGCGAAAGCGGCUCUCUGGUCCGUUACUGACGCUGAGGCGCGAAAGCUAGGGGAGCAAACGGGCUUAGAUACCCCAGUAGUC
rnacentral:rRNA from 1 species